rnacentral:rRNA from 1 species
CUUCUUGAGAUUUAUAGGAAGUUGGGCCUGUCCACUGAAAAAUAUAAUUUAAAGGGCCGCGGUAUUUUGACCGUGCAAAGGUAGCAUAAUCAUUAGUUUUUUAAUUGAGAACUGGAAUGAAUGGUUUGACGAAAUAAUUAGUGUCUCUAUUAUAAUUAAUUGAAUUUUACUUUUAAGUUAAAAGGCUUAAAUGUUAAUAAGGGACGAUAAGACCCUAUAGAUCUUUAUAAUAAUUUUAGUAUUGUUGUUUUAGUUGUUUAUUAUUAUAUAUAUUAUUAAUUUUAUUAUUUUAUUGGGGUGAUAUGAGAAUAUAAUAACUUCUUAAUUUUGAACUUUGAUUAUUGAAUUUUAGAUCCUAUAUUUAUGGAAAAAGAUUAAGAUACCUUAGGGAUAACAGCGUAAUUUUGUUGGAAAGUUCUUAUUGAUAAUGAAGAUUGCGACCUCGAUGUUGGAUUAAGAAUAUAUGUUGGUGUAGAUGCUAAUAAUAUUGGUCUGUUC